GAAAUGCGAUAAGUAGUGUGAAUUGCAGAAUUCAGUGAAUCAUUGAAUCUUUGAACGCACAUUGCGCCCCUUGGUAUUCCAUGGGGCAUGCCUGUUCGAGCGUCAUUUGUACCCUCAAGCUCUGCUUGGUGUUGGGUGUUUGUCCCGUCUCCGCGCGUGGACUCGCCCCAAAGUGAUUGGCAGCCGGCGUACUGGUCCCGGAGCGCAGCACAUGUCGCGCAAACGAGUGCCUUGGUACGGCGGCGUCCAUAAGCCCCUCUCUCACGCUCUUGACCUCGGAUCAGGUAGGGAUACCCGCUGAACUUAAGC
rnacentral:misc_RNA from 1 species